UCGAGAUUAGCUCAGUUGGUAGAGCAUCUCGUUUACACCGAGAGGGUCGGGAGUUCGAGUCUCUCAUCGCCCACCA
rnacentral:tRNA from 1 species